GGUGGGGUGGCAGAAUGGGAUUGCGCACGACUCGAAAUCGUGUGGCCUUUAAGGCCUUGCGGGUUCGAAUCCCGCCCCCACCGCCA
rnacentral:tRNA from 1 species